UUUUAGAGAUAGGUAGCACACUACCCGCUUCGUUUAUUUCAUUUAGAAAUAAACUUAGCUGGAAAUGUGAAUCAACUAGGAUUCGAACUUGAGUCUCGGGUACCAACCACGAUGUCCUUCGUCACUUGCUCUAGGGACAGCCGGUUUUAAAUUACAAAGUUAUAAAAUAAAAUACGCUACAUCACAUUAUGUAAAACUAAAGUUUCAUCCAAUAAAUGAGCCCGGCUACGUACCAUACUGUUAUAAAUAUAAACCCUUUUGUACUCAUAAAAUUUCGACCAUUAAAUAUAUUCUUUUGAUUAUUUUUAUUUAUUAGAUCAUACUAUUUAACCAACAAUUCAUUCAAUCUUAGCGGAUCACUGUUAUUCUAACUACACAUUAAUUUUUGUUUCUAACGACUAAAAAUUCAUAAGUAUAA
rnacentral:lncRNA from 1 species